rnacentral:rRNA from 1 species
UACGUAGGGGGGCUAGCGUUGUCCGGAUUUAUUGGGCGUAAAGAGCGUGUAGGCGGCCAGGUAGGUCUGCUGUGAAAACUCGAGGCUCAACCUCGAGACGUCGGCGGAAACCAUCUGGCUAGAGUCCGGAAGAGGAGAGUGGAAAUUCCUGGUGUAGCGGUGAAAUGCGCAGAUAUCAGGAAGAACGCCCGUGGCGAAGGCGGCUCUCUGGGGAACGGGUACUGACGCUGAGACGCGAAAGCGUGGGGGAGCGAACAGG